rnacentral:rRNA from 1 species
AGAGUUUGAUCCUGGCUCAGGACGAACGCUGGCGGCGUGCUUAACACAUGCAAGUCGAACGAGAAUCUGUGGAAAGAGGAUUCGUCCAAUUGAAGCAGAGGACAGUGGCGGACGGGUGAGUAACGCGUGAGGAACCUGCCUUUCAGAGGGGGACAACAGUUGGAAACGACUGCUAAUACCGCAUGACAUAUAGAUGUCGCAUGGCAUUUAUAUCAAAGAUUUAUCGCUGAAAGAUGGCCUCGCGUCUGAUUAGCUAGUUGGUGAGGUAACGGCCCACCAAGGCGACGAUCAGUAGCCGGACUGAGAGGUUGAACGGCCACAUUGGGACUGAGAUACGGCCCAGACUCCUACGGGAGGCAGCAGUGGGGAAUAUUGGGCAAUGGGCGCAAGCCUGACCCAGCAACGCCGCGUGAAGGAAGAAGGCUUUCGGGUUGUAAACUUCUUUUGUCAGGGACGAGUAGAAGACGGUACCUGACGAAUAAGCCACGGCUAACUACGUGCCAGCAGCCGCGGUAAUACGUAGGUGGCAAGCGUUGUCCGGAUUUACUGGGUGUAAAGGGCGUGUAGCCGGGAGGGCAAGUCAGAUGUGAAAUCCACGGGCUCAACUCGUGAACUGCAUUUGAAACUACUCUUCUUGAGUAUCGGAGAGGCAAUCGGAAUUCCUAGUGUAGCGGUGAAAUGCGUAGAUAUUAGGAGGAACACCAGUGGCGAAGGCGGAUUGCUGGACGACAACUGACGGUGAGGCGCGAAAGCGUGGGGAGCAAACAGGAUUAGAUACCCUGGUAGUCCACGCUGUAAACGAUGAAUACUAGGUGUGCGGGGACUGACCCCCUGCGUGCCGCAGCUAACGCAAUAAGUAUUCCACCUGGGGAGUACGAUCGCAAGGUUGAAACUCAAAGGAAUUGACGGGGGCCCGAACAAGCGGUGGAUUAUGUGGUUUAAUUCGAAGCAACGCGAAGAACCUUACCAGGGCUUGACAUCCUACUAACGAGAUAGAGAUAUGUUAGGUGCCCUUCGGGGAAAGUAGAGACAGGUGGUGCAUGGUUGUCGUCAGCUCGUGUCGUGAGAUGUUGGGUUAAGUCCCGCAACGAGCGCAACCCCUAUUGUUAGUUGCUACGCAAGAGCACUCUAGCGAGACUGCCGUUGACAAAACGGAGGAAGGUGGGGACGACGUCAAAUCAUCAUGCCCCUUAUGUCCUGGGCUACACACGUAAUACAAUGGCAGGUACAGAGAGACGGUUGUACGUAAGUACGAUCAAAUCCUUAAAGCCUGUCUCAGUUCGGACUGGGGUCUGCAACCCGACCCCACGAAGCUGGAUUCGCUAGUAAUCGCGCAUCAGCCAUGGCGCGGUGAAUACGUUCCCGGGCCUUGUACACACCGCCCGUCAAGCCAUGAAAGCCGGGGGCGCCUAAAGUCCGUGACCGUAAGGAGCGGCCUAGGGCGAAACUGGUAAUUGGGGCUAAGUCGUAACAAGGUA